GGGCGUGUAGCUCAGUGGCAGUAGCAUCUGUCUUAUAAACAGAAGGUCCCAGGUUCGAUCCCUGGCACGCCCA
rnacentral:tRNA from 5 species